rnacentral:lncRNA from 1 species
CUUUUCUCGGACAAAGUUUUUAGAUUGUCAUUUUUAUCGUGACGGAUCCGUUUGAUGUUUUCAGCAACUUCAUUCAAUGUUUCCUGAAUUUCUAGAAAAGCAUUUGAGGUCUUAAUGUUUUUAACAAAAUCAUCAAUAUUGGAAAUAUUUGGACAUUUCGCGUGUUUUUCGACGGUGCACUUACUGCAACAUGCGUCUUCGUGGUCUUUGCAGUAGAUUUGAUAUUUUUCUUCAUGUGCACUACAUGUUUGCUUAAUAUUUGUGAUGUAAGACGGGAGCGCUUGAUAUUCUGAAAUGAGUACAGUGACAUGCUUUCGUGUUGACUUGGAAAUUCCAUGAUGCUUACUGCAGUCUAUACAGAGGCCCUCAUCGCAAUCUGGACACCAUAUAUACGCAGGUUUGAAGACAUGUUGAUAUUCACAUACACCACACGGCUGUACAGAGCUUGUCAUUAUCUACUAAAAAAAUCUUUACUUUUAU